AUGUAUGUACGUAUGUAUGUGUUUGUGUAUGUAUGAAUUUAAGUGUUAAGGUUUGAGCUUUUAAUGUAUAAAAAAUAGAAAAAAAAGAUUUGUUUACGAAGAUAAAAUAUUUGUAUGGAAAUGGGCGGACUGAUUGUGGUGGCCACGUUGGUGAUGACGUAUAGAGAGAGAGAGAGAGAGAGAGAGAGAGAGUGUGUGUGUGAGAGAGAGAAAGAGAAAAAAGUCUGUAGCAAUGAAUAGGAGUUGUAUGAGAGAUAUUAUUCAGGGUGUGGUUACUUGGGACAGGUAGUCUCUGUCUACUCGCUAACACACGCUACAAUAUACACACAUAUACAUUUAAUCAACCAUACAUUCACACUACACGCAUAUAUACACACAUACAUCAUAUACCAUGACAGUAAAACAUUCAUACUUACACAUACACACGUUUAAACAACGAUACACGCACAGGACAAAGUAACACCCACACGUUUAUAAUCUUCUUCCUGGCAUUUCAUAAUUGAGUAGCGACCGUUGCAGAAGUCAAAAACCUAUCUGCUUUCAAGAGACAGAAAAACUUCAGCCUGAAUUCGAAACACUUUCAAUUUGAAGACAUGCCCUCA